AUGAACGCUGGCGGCGUGCCUAAUACAUGCAAGUCGAGCGAACGGACGAGAAGCUUGCUUCUCUGAUGUUAGCGGCGGACGGGUGAGUAACACGUGGAUAACCUACCUAUAAGACUGGGAUAACUUCGGGAAACCGUAGCUAAUACCGGAUAAUAUUUUGAACCGCAUGGUUCAAAAGUGAAAGAUGGUCUUGCUGUCACUUAUAGAUGGAUCCGCGCUGCAUUAGCUAGUUGGUAAGGUAACGGCUUACCAAGGCAACGAUGCAUAGCCGACCUGAGAGGGUGAUCGGCCACACUGGAACUGAGUCACGGUCCAGACUCCUACGGGAGGCAGCAGUAGGGAAUCUUCCGCAAUGGGCGAAAGCCUGACGGAGCAACGCCGCGUGAGUGAUGAAGGUCUUCGGAUCGUAAAACUCUGUUAUUAGGGAAGAACAUAUGUGUAAGUAACUGUGCACAUCUUGACGGUACCUAAUCAGAAAGCCACGGCUAACUACGUG
rnacentral:rRNA from 1 species